UACGGAGGGUCCAAGCGUUCUCCGGCAUCCUUGGGUUUAAAGGGUCCGUAGGCGGUUUUGUAAGUCAGCGGUGAAAGCCCAUCGCUCAACGGUGGAACGGCCAUUGAUACUGCAAGACUUGAAUUAUUAGGAAGUAACUAGAAUAUGUAGUGUAGCGGUGAAAUGCUUAGAGAUUACAUGGAAUACCAAUUGCGAAGGCAGGUUACUACCAAUAUAUUGACGCUGAUGGACGAAAGCGUGGGGAGCGAACAGG
rnacentral:rRNA from 1 species